UGGGGCGUGGCCAAGUGGUAAGGCAGAGGACUUUGGAUCCUCUAUCCCAGGUUCGAAUCCUGGCGCCCCAG
rnacentral:tRNA from 1 species